rnacentral:lncRNA from 1 species
GCCGAUUUUGAGUGUGUUAGAGUAUUCUCUCAAGUUUAUACUUUGCAUUUGGUGUUGUGUGAAGCAUUUGAGGCAUCACACUUGAGGUGCUAGUCUCACAAGGUUUCAAGGAACUCUUACAACAACAAGGUAUGUAAUUCUAUCUAUUAUUUAAGUUAGAAUUGUUCCCCAUGUAUGCUAGAUAGGAUCAUAGCCUUGGAAAUCAACUUUGCAUGAUAAUUAGACAAACAUAGAUCCAAGGUUAUUAGGGUUGCAUGUACACUUAGGAAGUGUUAGAAUGCUCAAAACCCAACAGUGGUAUCAGAGACUAGGCUUGUUUGUUUGUUAUUUGUGCUAAAUAGUUGAAAAAAGUCGAUAUUUUUGCAAUCUGACUGAUGAACUCGCCGAGUCCAUGGGGGACUAACCGAGUUCAUGUGAAUCUUCAACCUACUCGUCGAGUAGGUUCAUGCACUCGGCGAGUAGGAGCCUCAGAUUGCAGAUUUUUGACUUUAGUUGCUGGAAAUGGACUAGAAACAUUACCCUAAACUGUUUUGGUACAUGAAAACCUGUUUUAGAUGGUCUAAUGUCUUUACUAAUCCAUUUACAACAACAAGUUAUCAAGAUUACAAAGUUUUAAAUGUAAUUUUUGAUUCAUGAAAGUGUUCAUAUUCAUGUUCUUGAUGUUAUGAUGUUUAGAUGAUCAUAGGAAUUAUUUUUAACCUAUGUGGUAGAUUAAUUCAUGAUCAUAAUGUGUUUUAAUGGAGUCCAUAACUUGUCCUCAAGUUAUGGAAAACCAAAAGUCUCUUGGAUUAAAAAACAUUAAAAGAACACAAGAGUUAGGAAAAAUGAAAAGUCCUCAUUUUAUUACUCUAUUAAACUCAUAAGUUACAAGAAAUGAAAAGUUUUGAAAGUUUACAAAACUUGCCCUCAAGUUUUGGAACAAGUAAAGUCAAGUUAAAACUUUAGUUCCAACCCCUAGAAUUUUAAAAGUUAAAAUUCAACCCUUAUACUUAUAUUAUUAUGAUUUAAUAAUUAUAUAUAUAUGUAUAAGAACAAAGUCGUCUUACCGCUAGUACGCCUCAUUCACGAAGCCGGUCUAUAAGGUGGGUAUAAGGUUGUUGCCUAUAAAAUGGUGACUUAAUGGGUGUCCACUCUCACCCACCGCUUGCUUGAUCGGUGGAGGGUCGUUAGCCGAACGGGUAAGACAAGGACUUAUUAAUUCUCAUUCAAAGUAUGAUGAAUAUUAUAAAGUAACUAAAUGUUUUAUUAAAUUCCCAAUCUUAGUUACUUUAGGAAAAAUGUGAAUAAGGUGCUAUUCCAUGAAAUUACACUUUACACUUUGAUUAAGUCGUUGGUGGAGCGUGUGUGGUUAACCGGCACAUCGAUUGAGGGGUAAUUUAUUAAGGGUACCAAGUAAUUUGCAUGGUUACUUCACACCUCAUUUUGUGAUCCUCGGCAUCCCAGUCACAAAACUUGGAGGGCACACUCGAGAUUGAAACAUGCCUUUGAAAAGUUCAUUGAAUCUCAAAAGAAUCUAGGAGUUUCUAAGAACCAAAUUAAAUAUUUUAAUAUUUCAACUUUGGUGGAAAUUGGUGAAUCGUCAUUCACCUACCUUUCAAAUAUGUUAUUACUUAGAUUACGGCAUACCUCUUCUAAGUAUAAUAUAUUAUGAUUGGGUCCUCUCCCUAAUACUACAUUUGGGUGUUUUAUUAAGGACUAUCUCUAUUUCUAAACUAAACUUUUCUUCUUUUCAGAUGUCUACAAACACUGCUGCAUCUGGCUCUAAUCCUAAUGGCUCCCUUUCUCUUAUUAACUUGUGUGGGAAAGUCACUUUUGAUGGAUCCAACUUUAAUGAAUGCAUCAGAAACAUCCGAAUGAUUACCCGCUACGAGGAAAAAUAAUAUGUCCUCGAUAAGGAGCUUAAGGAGAUUGAUGAGAUAGUUGCUACUCCUCAAGAGAUCGCUGACUUUAGGGCACAUGAAAGGGAUGCCACCAAGGUGGCAUGCAUCAUGAUGGCCACUAUGACAGCCGAUCUCCAAAAGUACUAUGAGGACUACUCCCUUUUGAAAUGCACCAAGAUUUGAUGGAAAGAUACCAUCAAAGUGCACGACAAGAGAGGUAUGAAAUCAUCUCCUCCAUGAUAACAACCCAAAUGAAGGAUGGAGAACCCAUCACGGGCCACAUGCAGAAAAUGCAAAGAUUUGUGGACCGCUUGCCGAAGCUUAAUGUGCACUUCCCCGAGGAGCUAGCAAGAGAUAUUAUUUUGCACUCCUUACCUUCAUGUUAUGAUCAAUUCCGCAUGACAUACCACAUGAACAAGGAAGAGGUCACUCUCAGCAAACUUCAAGGACUCUUAAAGACCGUGGAAAGUGGUCUUAAGGGUAAGGCGGUUGUUACUCCUACUCCUACUAACUCUGCCCCUGUCUUGGCAAUCGGGAAAGGACGAGGGAAGAAGAGAAAAAGUUCUUCAAAGGGUACCAAGGUUAGGAACCUUGAUGGCUCUUCUUCAAGUGGAACCAAGAAAGGUUUCAUCACUCCUUCUUCUGACCUAAAAGAGGCUGAAUGCUUCUAUUGCCAUGAAAAGGCACAUUGGAAGCGGAACUGCCCAAAGUACCAGGAAGAUGUGAAGGAUGGGAAAGUUAAACCCAACCAUGCAGGUAUUUACACUAUCUUAUCUAAUAACUCACCCCAUUCUAACUCAUGNGGGUGUGGUAUUCACAUUUGUUGUGACUUGCAGGGACUAAGAAGAAGUGAGGAUGUGGAGCAAGGAAGGAUAAAGUUGAUCAUGGAAAAUCGGAAAGCUUCACCUGUCACCAAGUUUGGAGUUUAUACUUUAUCGCUAAGUAGUGGGUUUAGUUUAGAUUUGAAUAAAUGUUGUUAUUCCCCAGAAAUGGAAAGAAAUAUUAUUUCCUUUCAUGCAUUGUAUAAACAAGGUUUCACCUUUUCAUUUGAUAAUGAAGUUGGUUCGAUUAAUGCUUUCUUUAAUAAUGUUCUUUAUUUUAAAGCAUUACCUUGUGAUGGUGUGUAUGAAGCUGUAUCUGUUGUAGAUAACUUGGGAAAUAAUGUUUUGUGUAUUGAUUCUACUAAUAAUAACUUGGAUAAAGCAUCAUUAUGGCAUUGUCGUCUUGGACAUAUAAGCAAGAAACGCAUAGGCCAACUCCAAAAGGAUGGAGUCUUGGAGUCGUUUGACCUAAAGUCAGAUGAUAGUUGCGAAUCAUGCUUACUUGGAAAAAUGACAAAGUCACCCUUCACAGGUUCGUGUGAGAGGGGUGAAGGUUUGUUGGACCUUGUACACAUAGAUGUGUGUGGAACAUUCAAACAUGCCACAAGGGAUGCUAAUCGUUAUUAUUUGACUUUUACUGAUGAUUAUAGUAGAUAUGGAUAUGUCUACUUAAUCAAGCAUAAGUCAGAGACUUUCGAAAGGUUUAAGGAAUUUAAAAAGGAAGUCGAGAAUCAGUUGGGCAGGAACGUUAAGAUGCUUCGAUCCAAUCGAGGUGGUGGGUAUCUUAGUUCAGAGUUCCUCGACUAUCUUAGGGAAUGUGGGAUUGUUUCAAAAUUGACACCUCCCAGGACACCGCAGUUGAAUGGUGUGGCUGAGAGGCAUAACCGAACCUUGUUGGAUAUGGUUCGUUCCAUGACGACUCGAGCUUCACUACCAAUCUCAUUCUAGGGGUAUGCCUUAGAGACUGCCGCCCAUAUUCUUAAUCUAGUCCCUACAAAGAAAGUUGCCAAAACUCCUCACGAGAUGUGGACUGGUAAAGUACCUAAACUAGACCACAUCAAGAUUUGGGGUUGCGAGGCUUUCGUGAGACGCGAGACUCAUGAUAAGCUCGAACCUCGAAGCGAGAGGUGUAUUUUCAUCGGUUACCCACAGCGAUCCUUUGGUUGCAACUUCUACAGACCUAGUGAUAAUGUGGUCUUUGUAGCAAGAAGAGGAGUCUUUCGGGAGAGAGAGUUUAUAUGCCAAGGAGACAGUAGGAGGCAAAUUAACCUUGAAGAACUUCAAGAGUCAAGUGGUGAAGGAACUUCAAACCCUAGCCCUCAACUUGAGGAGGAAACUCCUAUUGCGCCAAAUCACGAGUCUGUACCUCUGAGGCGUUCCAAGAGAGUCAGGAAUGCACCUGAGCAUUACUAUGGUUUCCAUAUUACUGCGGAAGGUAAGACACUUAUUAGUGAUGAGACACUAGUAGGUCUGGAUGAACCUAACAGCUACACGGAAGCCAUGGCAGGCCCUGAGUCUGCUAAAUGGAAAGAGGCUAUGGAUAGCGAGAUACAAUCCAUGUAUGACAAUCAAGUUUGGAACUUGGUUGACAAUGUACCAGGUCGUAAGACUGUAGGGUGCAAAUGGAUCUUCAAGAAGAAGACCGACAUGGAUGGUAAUGUACACACUUAUAAGGCUCGACUGGUUGCAAAAGGUUUCUCUCAAAUUCCUGGAGUGGAUUAUGAUGAGACCUUUUCUCCAGUAGCCAAGAUUAAGUCUAUUAUGGUUAUGUUAUCUAUAGCUGCAUUUCAUGACUAUGAAAUUUGGAAAAUGGAUGUAAAAACCGCUUUCCUUAAUGGAAAGUUGACUGAAGAUGUUUACAUGAGUCAGCCAGAGGGUUUAGUCAGCAACGAGUACCCUAAUAGAGUGUGUAAUCUUGAGAAAUCCAUUUAUGGAUUAAAGCAAGCACCUCGCAGAUGGAAUCUUUGCUUUGAUGAAAAGGUCAAGGAAUUUGGCUUUUCUAGGAGUGAAGAUGAAUCUUGUGUGUAUGUCAAGGCUAGUGGGAGUAUAGUUAGCUUUUUGGUAUUGUAUGUGGAUGACAUACUACUCAUAGGAAACNUCCCAACUCUGCAGGAAGUUAAGUCCUGGCUUGGGAAGUGUUUCUUUAUUAAUUACCUAGGAGAAGCUCCCUAUAUUCUAGGGAUAAGGAUUUUGAGAAACCGGAGAAAAAGACUAAUUGUAAUUAGUCAAAGUAACGCCAGAUUGAGUAAGACACAAGGCCCAAGAAAGGUGUUAAAGAGAUUCAGCAUGCAGAACUCCAAGAAAGGAGAGUUACCCAUCCAGAGUAACGCCAGAUUGAGUAAGACACAAGGCCCAAGUACCGAGGCUAAGAUAGAAGAAAUGACUCAAGUACCCUAUGCUUCAGCAGUAGGCUCGAUCAUGUAUUCUAUGACGUGUACUCGACCUGAUGUAGCCUUUGCUUUGAGCAUGGUUAGCAGGUAUCAAGGGAACCCUGGCAAGGCUCACUAGAUUGCGGUAAAGAAUAUCCUUAAGUACCUACGGAGGACUAAGGACUGGGUCCUUACCAUCGGUGGGAGUGAUGACUUGAGAGUUGUAGGGUAUAGUGAUGCUAGCUUCCAGACUGAUAGGGAUAAUUUCCGCUCUCAGUCGGGCUGGGUCUUUACCUUAAACGGAGGAGCAAUCACUUGGAAGAGUUCCAAGCAGGAGACAGUGGCUGAUUCCACUUGUGAAUCAGAGUAUAUAGCAGCGAGCGAGGCAGCAAAGGAGGCAAUAUGGCUAAAGAACUUCAUUGGAGACCUUGGAGUUGUAGCAGCUAUAAAGGAGUCGAUGGAAAUUUUCUGUGAUAGUGAAAGUGUUGUUGCCUUAGCCAAGGAACCAAGGGAUCACGGGAGAUCCAGACACAUCGACAGAAAAUAUCAUUUUAUCAGACAUCGCAUAGAAGAAGGAAUCCUCGUGGCAAAGAGGGUAUCAUGGGAUGAGAACCCAGCAGAUCCCUUCACGAAGGGACUGAGUAGGGUUAAGCAUCUCCAGCAUGCUGGGAGCAUAAGGCUGAAGGAUGAUAUAAGUUUUAGUAGUUAGAUAAAUUAUGAAAUUUUUAAAGUGUAAUUGACAAUUGAUGAUGAAUAAAAGUUGUGUUUAUUUAUGAGUAAAGUGUUACUAUCUUUUGUCAAUCGUUUACUAUAAUUUCUUUUGCAUGUUUUGACUUCCUGAAUAAUAUGUUGUGGUUUCACAUAUUAUUCAAACUUUCCACAGUCAGUCAUAUGUUAGAAGUAGAUAUGAAGUAAGACUGUCAUUAAGUUGGUUGUAGGUGUCAGGAUAUAAGACAACACUUCAUGAGUGCUCAUAAGUCCUGAGUAUUGGAAUCAACAAACGCUCACUGGAAUCACUUCAUGGAAUUUUAUCUCGAGUGAUCGUGAGACGGUAAUAUCAUAUUAGUCUUCAAACCUAGAGAUAUGAUUUGUUACUUACGAGUUGGUUUUGCAUUGAUUGUACGAAAACGCAUUGGUAAGUUGAUGUUAUAAAACAUGCUUUUGUGUGUAAUUCAAUGAGUGGUAGAACAAACAUAUGAGUCCAAGUUUAUAUGUUCCUUCUUUGAUUAGAAGUUGAUAUCUGGGCCCCUCGAUGAUUUUCUUUUAACCUAUGUACCGGGCCCGGUCACAACUAAGUUGAUGUCUUCAAUUCAGUUCCUUGUCAAACAAAUCAGAAUUCGGAAAACAAACUGCUGGAUAAUAAGUAAGACAUUGUUCCAUGUAUUUGUCCGGCUGAUAUCUAGAACAGAGGAUUAUAUCAUCACUUAUCUUAAAUGGCGUAUCAACAUCUUCUCAUUUCCGAGAGACCUUAAAAGAGCUACGAUUGCCGAUCGGUUCCUGAAGUAUUGCAGUUAUAGUUAUUAGGCUUAUCCAAGUGGGAGACUGUUGGAUAAGGUGUCUAAGUGCAUAACUAUUUCUGGUAAAUACUUGACCUGAACCGACAUGGUCCAUUUAGGUUGCAUGGCACCAUGCAAUUGGAUAAACUAAAUUAGAGAAAUAACACAUAUGGUUUAUUAAUAUAUUAUAAGUUCUAAUAUAUUAAUAAUAUUAUUUAAUUAGUUUUGAUCAAGAAUUAAUUAAGUGAUCAAAAGAAUAACUAAUUAAAUAUAUGGGUAGAUUAUGUAAAUCUUCCAUAUCUUAUAUAGUGGGUUUAAAAGGCUCCAAGGAUUAUCAAGUUGGGUUCCACCCAUAGGAUGCUCCAUCGAGUUAACCCAUGGAUUGAAAAAUGAAGAGUCAUGUUACAUUAUGGUUUUACCUAAUGCAACACACUAUAUAAGGACCAUGUCUCUCCCCAAAAUCGGCUACACAAGAGAAACAAGAGGGCUUGGCCGAUUUUGAGUGUGUUAGAGUAUUCUCUCAAGUUUAUACUUUUGCAUUUGGUGUUGUGUGAAACAUUUGAGGCAUCACACUUGAGGUGCUAGGCUCACAAGGUUUCAAGGAACACUUACAACAACAAGGUAUGUAAUUCUAUCUAUUAUUCAAGUUAGAAUUGUUCUCCAUGUAUGCUAGAUAGGAUUAUAGCCUUGGAAAUCAACUUUGCAUGAUAAUUAGACAAACAUAGAUCCAAGGUUAUUAGGGUUGCAUGUACACUUAGGAAGUGUUAGAAUGCUCAACACCCAACAAUACUUACAUACAAAUUUAGACACACUAAUACUUAUGAUCUCACCAGCUUUAAAGCUGAUACUCUCUUUCAAAAUAACUUGUGUCCUCAGGUCAACAGUAGACAAGUACAAAUGCAAGGUUUAGAGAAGAUGGAGCUCGUUCAAGACUCAUCUUUCAUUUUUAUUAUACUUUAGUGUUUAUAAUAAUUUGUCAAAACAAACUUGUAUUAAAAUUAUAUUAUUAAUGCAAUGGAUGAUGUUGUUGCUUGUUUACUACUUUUCAUUGUUGUGAUACUGUACAUGACGUCCUCUGCCCCAGAACGUAUCCGCCGUUCUUGGUUUUGGGGUGUGACACUAUUCUUGGUGUUUACGGUUUUGGGACCUCCCAAAACCUUGAACAACUUUAUCUUGGUGUUCUUGGGACGUUUCGUUGGUAUAAACAUGUAUAGCUAGCUUUAAAUGACUCUAGGAUAGAAGUACUUACAUUGUGGAAGCUUGAAAUGAACUUAUAGUCCAAGAACACUAGUGUGUGUUCUUGAUGUUCUUGGUGUUU